CAUGCAAGUAGAACGCUGAAGCUUUGGUGCUUGCACCGAGCGGAAGAGUUGCGAACGGGUGAGUAACGACGUAGGUAACCUGCAUGGUAGCGGGGGAUAACUAUUGGAAACGAUAGCUAAUACCGCAUGAUAUUGAUUAUUGCAUGAUAGUCAAUUAAAAGGUGCAAUUGCAUCACUACCAGAUGGACCUGCGUUGUAUUAGCUAGUUGGUGAGGUAACGGCUCACCAAGGCAACGAUACAUAGCCGACCUGAGAGGGUGAUCGGCCACACUGGGACUGAGACACGGCCCAGACUCCUACGGGAGGCAGCAGUAGGGAAUCUUCGGCAAUGGACGGAAGUCUGACCGAGCAACGCCGCGUGAGUGAAGAAGGUUUUCGGAUCGUAAAGCUCUUGUUGUAAGACGAAGAACGAGUGUGAGAGUGGAAA
rnacentral:rRNA from 1 species